rnacentral:lncRNA from 1 species
CCAGGAAUGGUGGUGGGCGUCUGUAAUCCCAGCUAUUCAGGAGGCUGAGGUGGGAGAAGUGCUUGAACCCGGGGUGGCGGAGGUUGCAGUGAGCUGAGAUAGCGCCACUGCACUCCAGCCUGGUCAACAGAGUAAGACUGUCUCAAAAAAAAAAAAAAGUUGGAGUCCAAUAAGCACAUGAUCAACACCGUUAACCAUCAGGGAAACAAGAUACCAUUUCACACCCAUAAGGAUGGUUACAAUCAAAAAGACAAUAACAAGUGUUGGCAAGGGUGUACAGAAAUCAAAACCUAGAUACACUGCUGGUGGGGAUGUAAAAACGCUGCAGUCACUUUGGAAAAUAGUCUGACAGUUUCUCAAAAAGUUAAUCAGAGUUACUACUUUUUUUCCUCUUUUAAAAUUAUAUUUUAAGUUU